CGGAAAGUCGGGAUUUUCCAAUCUGGCAACGCCGUAAUCGGCCAUUUUAGAUUUCAUUAAUUUUUCCCUGUGUAAAUUCCCAUAAGGAAUCGGGGUACCUUUAGUUUAAAUUAAUUUUUUAAUUAUUGGUGUCUUACAGCCAAUUUAUUUUUCAUCGAUCGUGUUCCCCGAUUAAUGGGUUGUUUUGAUUCUGGAAUGUCAAAACAGACAUGUUAUGUGCUUGCCUACGGUGCUGUAACUUUUGCUUCUCAAAAGUGAAUGUUAAUGGACAUCUAGAAUAUGGGGUUUCAAAAAGUAGGAGACAGGUAUAUGGCUGCUGAAAAGAACAAAUUCGAGAGAAAAAGGUUUAUAAAAAUAUACAGCAGAGUAUGCAGUCAAGAUUUUACUUCUGCACCAACAUCUAAUAAUGAGCAAAAUUCCAUUGGGAUUGCUACUGUUGAAAGAAUUAGUCGCUCUCUAUAAGAAGGCAGAUUGCUGGGACAUGUUCAACGAUACACACAUUCCACAAGACACAGUUACUGAUUUCAUGAAAGAUACAACUGUACCUGAGGGUACAAUGCAGAACACGUUUGAUGAACACAUCAACACAUUGGUGAAUCAACUAACAAUCAGAAUUCAUCUUCCUGCAAAACAGUCAUUGGUUCUUCGAAUAAAAAAUAUUGAAAAAUGAGAAAUAAUUACUAGUUGAAGCAGUGUCACGUCACGUCUUCAGUAUUUUUAUUAAAAACUUUAUUUCAUGUUUAAUACAAUGUUUCACUCGA
rnacentral:lncRNA from 1 species